AGCUCUCAACCGGGAGCUAGCCAGGCAAGUCAGUGUGAGCAUAGAGAAGGAUCCAGUCUACCACCACCAGGUCAGAACACACAGGCAGUAAAUUGCAUCUCCAGUUUAUUGAAAAGUGAAGCCUCACACUGUAACAAAAGACAUCAAUAAUGACUGGCCAGACCUGUGGAGUGCUAAACAAACAGAAGACUUCAAAUCCAAGAACCCCUGGUUGGGAUCCAAAAACAAAAAAUUGGGAUGUCUGGUCUGUAGCAGUGUGAACUCCAUUGGGAUCGACAAGGAGCAAGGACAAGGUGUAUCGCUCUCAAGAGAAUGGAUGAACUUUGAAAUUCAAGUGUCUGGCCAGGGAAGUAGAACAACAAGUUUGUCAAUCUUGAGAAAUAAGGUGAGGAAACAUGCGUUGUCCAAGGCCCACACUCAGGCUGUGAAGGUGGCAGAGCAACAGAAAGAAGCUGCCAUUGAGAAUGCAGUGGAGACUAUGACUGAGUCCUACAUGAAGGAAACUGAAGCUGUGUUUCGAACAGCCUACCAUCUGG